rnacentral:tRNA from 1 species
GUUGUCGUGGCCUAGUGGUUAAGGCGAUGGAUAAGAAAUAUCUAGGGAUCUUCCCGCGCAGAUUCGAAUCCUGCCGACAUCU